AGCGAACGCUGGCGGCAUGCCUAACACAUGCAAGUCGCACGGGGGGGCUUCGGCCUCCCAGUGGCGGACGGGUGAGGAACGCGUAGGGACCUGUCGAGGGGUGGGGGAUAACCGCGGGAAACUGCGGCUAAUACCGCAUGACGCCGCGGCGUGACAGCCGGGGCCAAAGGCGAAAGCCGCCCGCCGAGGGGCCUGCGUCCGAUUAGCUGGUUGGCGGGGUAGCGGCCCACCAAGGCGUCGAUCGGUAGCUGGCCUGAGAGGGUGAUCAGCCACACCGGGACUGAGACACGGCCCGGACUCCUACGGGAGGCAGCAGUGGGGAAUAUUGGACAAUGGGCGCAAGCCUGAUCCAGCAAUGCCGCGUGGGUGAAGAAGGUCUUCGGAUUGUAAAGCCCUUUCGGCGGGGACGAUGGUGACGGUACCCGCAGAAGAAGCCCCGGCUAACUUCGUG
rnacentral:rRNA from 1 species